rnacentral:rRNA from 1 species
UGCAGUCGACGGAUCCUUCGGGAUUAGUGGCGGACGGGUGAGUAACACGUGGGAACGUGCCCUUUGGUUCGGAACAACUCAGGGAAACUUGAGCUAAUACCGGAUGUGCCCUUCGGGGGAAAGAUUUAUCGCCAUUGGAGCGGCCCGCGUCUGAUUAGCUAGUUGGUGAGGUAAAGGCUCACCAAGGCGACGAUCAGUAGCUGGUCUGAGAGGAUGAUCAGCCACAUUGGGACUGAGACACGGCCCAAACUCCUACGGGAGGCAGCAGUGGGGAAUCUUGCGCAAUGGGCGAAAGCCUGACGCAGCCAUGCCGCGUGAAUGAUGAAGGUCUUAGGAUUGUAAAAUUCUUUCACCGGGGACGAUAAUGACGGUACCCGGAGAAGAAGCCCCGGCUAACUUCGUGCCAGCAGCCGCGGUAAUACGAAGGGGGCUAGCGUUGCUCGGAAUUACUGGGCGUAAAGGGAGCGUAGGCGGACUGUUUAGUCAGAGGUGAAAGCCCAGGGCUCAACCUUGGAAUUGCCUUUGAUACUGGCAGUCUUGAGUACGGAAGAGGUAUGUGGAACUCCGAGUGUAGAGGUGAAAUUCGUAGAUAUUCGGAAGAACACCAGUGGCGAAGGCGACAUACUGGUCCGUUACUGACGCUGAGGCUC